rnacentral:rRNA from 1 species
UACGAAGGGGGCUAGCGUUGCUCGGAAUCACUGGGCGUAAAGCGCACGUAGGCGGCUUUUUAAGUCAGGGGUGAAAUCCUGGAGCUCAACUCCAGAACUGCCUUUGAUACUGAGAAGCUUGAGUCCGGGAGAGGUGAGUGGAACUGCGAGUGUAGAGGUGAAAUUCGUAGAUAUUCGCAAGAACACCAGUGGCGAAGGCGGCCUUCUGGACAGUGACUGACGCUGAGACGCGAAAGCGUGGGGAGCAAACAGG